AUUGAACGCUGGCGGCAUGCUUUACACAUGCAAGUCGAACGGUAACAGGGAGCUUGCUCCGCUGACGAGUGGCGAACGGGUGAGUAAUGCAUCGGAACGUACCGUGUAAUGGGGGAUAACGUAGCGAAAGUUACGCUAAUACCGCAUACGCCCUGAGGGGGAAAGUGGGGACCGCAAGGCCUCACGUUAUACGAGCGGCCGAUGUCGGAUUAGCUAGUUGGUGGGUAAAGGCCUACCAAGGCGACGAUCCGUAGCGGGUCUGAGAGGAUGAUCCGCCACACUGGGACUGAGACACGGCCCAGACUCCUAC
rnacentral:rRNA from 1 species